rnacentral:rRNA from 1 species
ACGCGAAAGUCCCCUUCGGGGGACGAGUAGAGUGGCGCACGGGUGAGUAACACGUAGGUAAUCUACCUUCGGAUGGGGAAUAACAACCGGAAACGGUUGCUAAUACCGCAUAAUGCAGCGGCACCUAAUGGUGACAGUUGUUAAAGCGGGGGAUCGUAAGACCUCGCGUCUGAAGAGGAGCCUGCGGCGGAUUAGCUAGUUGGUAGGGUAAUGGCUUACCAAGGCGAUGAUCCGUAGCCGGCCUGAGAGGGCGGUCGGCCACACUGACACUGACAUACGGGUCAGACUCCUACGGGAGGCAGCAGUCGGGAAUUUUGGGCAAUGGGCGAAAGCCUGACCCAGCAACGCCGCGUGAAGGAUGAAAUCCUUCGGGAUGUAAACUUCGCAAGAACGGGAAGAAUAAGUAAGAGUUAAUAUCUCUUACGAUGACGGUACUGUUUGUAAGCUCCGGCUAACUCCGUGCCAGCAGCCGCGGUAAUACGGGGGGAGCAAGCGUUG